AACCCCAUAAUUCCACAUGGAUUCUCCUGCUAGCACUGAGGCUGAACUGCUUGUCUCUGAUGAAAGAAAUUGGUCUCUCUUCGCUUUCACCCUGGGAAACUAUAGGUCCUUACCAUGGGCGUGCGCACGGGGUGGGCCCGGGCACACACCCUCAUGCCCAUGGGCCGGAUCCGGAUCUGGCCCCUCGGGGCUUUGCAUCCGGCCCGCGGGAUUUGCCCCCCGUGGUGCCGCAGGCCCCGCGCUGCUUUCCGAAGCAGCUAUCAGGGCAGCAUGUCUCUGGGGCUAAGGGGUUGCUCUAGGCACCGCCUCCCGAAGCUCCCAUUGGCCGGGAACGGGGAACUGCGGCCAAUGGGAGCUUCAGGGGAGGUACCUGGAGGCGUGGCAAGGGCAGCGUGCAGAGCCCUGUGCUGCCCCGCCCGUCCCCCGGGGCUGCGGGGAGCGGCCCGGCAUGGGGCCCUGGCAGGCAGGGAGCGCGCCGCUGCGGGAAACGUCUCAAGCUCCGCUAUAUGAUGAGGACAGAGUGAAUGUAUCGCAUAACACGUCAAGCGUUCUGGAGUGUUAGAAGUCACUGUGGGAAGAAUCGGCAGAGAGGAGGGAUUCCACUGCAUCCUUCUGUUUUAACCUCAGUAGUUGCAGCAGCCGGAGCUGAAAGGAAAUAGGGAAUGGUUGAAAUACAAAGGGAAAAAAUAUAAUUUUCAUUGAAUUGAUCUCAAUAAAUUAAAUGAAAAUA